GCACCAGACUCCUACGGGAGGCAGCAGUGAGGAAUAUUGGUCAAUGGCCGCAGGGCUGAACCAGCCAAGUCGCGUGAGGGAUGACGGUCCUAUGGAUUGUAAACCUCUUUUGUCAGGGAGCAAAGUGCCGCACGUGUGCGGUUUGGAGAGUACCCGGAGAAAAAGCAUCGGCUAACUCCGUGCCAGCAGCCGCGGUAAUACGGAGGAUGCGAGCGUUAUCCGGAUUUAUUGGGUUUAAAGGGUGCGUAGGCGGACGCGUAAGUCAGCGGUAAAAUGGCGGGGCUCAACCUCGGCGAGCCGUUGAAACUGGGUGCCUUGAGUGGGCGAGAAGUACGCGGAAUGCGUGGUGUAGCGGUGAAAUGCAUAGAUAUCACGCAGAACUCCGAUUGCGAAGGCAGCGUACCGGCGCCCAACUGACGCUGAAGCACGAAAGCGUGGGUAUCGAACAGGAUUAGAUACCCCUGUAC
rnacentral:rRNA from 1 species